GGCAAACGAGCAGCAGCUGUUUCCAGUGUCGGCGUAGUUUUGCGACAUGAAUAUGCGUUAUCAUGCACGCACUUGCUCUUAUAUUCAUGUCACUGCCACAGAUACACUCUACGCACUAAGUACAAGCCAAUAUAUCUCACGCAACCUAUCUCAACAGAGUACACAUGGCGACAAUGCACCCCAUGUUGUAUUUGUUCCUGUAUACGCUUCUACUUCAAAUAUAUUCUAGCUCAGAGUGGAAGUUUCAAGAACAAGAGCAACAGUCAGCAAAAGAACCCACCAGCAAAGAUAUCAGAAAAG